rnacentral:rRNA from 1 species
AGUGAACGCUGGCGGCGUGCCUAAUACAUGCAAGUCGAACGAACGAAUAAGAGCUUGCUCUUAUAAGUUAGUGGCGCACGGGUGAGUAAUAUAUAGCUAAUCUGCCUCUUAGUAGAGGAUAACAGUCGGAAACGAUUGCUAAUACUCUAUACUUCUGCUUUACAUAAGUAAAGUAGAGAAAGUUUUUCGCUAAGAGAUGAGGCUAUACUGUAUCAGCUAGUUGGUAAGGUAACGGCUUACCAAGGCUAUG